rnacentral:lncRNA from 1 species
GUAUAAUUACUCAUCAAUUGAGGUGCUCCUGAAUUGGAGGAAGAUUCUAAAAACAGAACUUUACAGAAACAAUGAAAACUGCAGUUUCUCUCCCCAAUCUCAUGUAUCCUCAUUGACAUUGUUUACCGCGAAAGUUGACCUACAAAUUAUCUGAUUAUAGCCUCAGAUUAUCAUUGCAUGUUGGUGUGUGAAUCAUCUACACUACAGCAAACAUCAUUAGGUUUACAUUUAACAAAUACGGAUUUUGAAUUAGUAUACAAAUACUGUGAAUGAUAUCCCUGUGUAGUGUGGCAUUCCAACAAUGACGUCACUAGGUUAGAUAUAU